AUUGAACGCUAGCGGGAUGCCUUACACAUGCAAGUCGAACGAGUGGGGGGCGGGUGACUAAUAUAUCGGCACGUGCCCAGUGGAUGGGGAUAACUAACCGACAGUAAGGCUACUUCCGCACACUUGUGGCGAGGCCGAUAUCGGAUUAGCGAGUUGGUGGGGUAAAGGCUCACAACGGCGACGAUCCGUAACUGGUUUGAGAGGACGAACAGCCACACUGGGACUGAGACACGGUCCAGACUCCUACGGGAGGCAGCAGUGGGGAAUUUUGGACAAUGGGCGAAACCCUGAUCCAGCCAUGCCGCGUGUAUGAGAAGGCCUGCGGGUUGUAAAGUACUUUUGGCAGAGAGGCGGUAUCUGCAGAAUAAGCACCGGCUAACGACGUGCCAGCAGCCGCGGUAAUUC
rnacentral:rRNA from 1 species